GACGAACGCUGGCGGCGUGCUUGACACAUGCAAGUCGAACGGAAAGGCCUGCUUUCCCUUGUGGAUUGCGGGUACUCGAGUGGCGAACGGGUGAGUAACACGUGAGUGAUCUGCCCCCAACUUGGGUAUAAGCCUGGGAAACUGGGUCUAAUUCCCGGUAGGACUGCAGGGUGGUGCCUGUGGUGGAAAACGAUUUUCUAGUGGUUGGGGAUGAGCUCGCGGCCUAUCAGCUUGUUGGUGGGGUAAUGGCCUACCAAGGCGGCGACGGGUAGCCGGCCUGAGAGGGUGGACGGCCACAUUGGGACUGAGAUACGGCCCAGACUCCUACGGGAGGCAGCAGUGGGGAAUAUUGCACAAUGGGCGGAAGCCUGAUGCAGCGACGCCGCGUGGGGGAUGACGGCCUUCGGGUUGUAAGCUCCUUUCGACCGCGAGGAAGCCACCUGGUUGGAAGGGUGGUGACGGUAGUGGUAGAAGAAGCACCGGCUAACUACGUG
rnacentral:rRNA from 1 species